UGCCGAGACCAUCCAUAUGUUGCAUCUACCACUCAUUCAGGGACGACAACACUAACCACGUUUGCAUUCCUGAUGACGACACUGCCGUUGACGCUGGUCAGGUUGUAGAAGGCGUUCAGCUGAGACAGCGGCAACGCCAGUGUAAACGUGCCACCGAUGCUCACCAAGUAAGGAAAUCUGUGUGGGAGAGCAAGGAGAAGAAGAUGAAGAUAAGGUGGAGAGCAAGGAGAAGAAGAUGAAGGAUAAGGUGAAGGACGAGACCGAUAGCGCACAAGUA
rnacentral:rRNA from 1 species